rnacentral:rRNA from 1 species
UACGGAGGGUGCGAGCGUUUGUCCGGAAUCACUGGGGCGUAAAGGGCGCGUAGGCGGCGCGGGCAGUCAACGGUGAAAGCUCGGGGCUCAACCCCCGGAGUCGGCCGUCGAUACUCCCGUGCUUGAGCACUGUAGAGGCAGAUGGAAUUCCGGGUGAGCGGUGGAAUGCGUAGAGGAUCCGGAAGAACACCGGUGGCGAAGGCGGUCUGCUGGGCAGU